AUGCAAGUCGAACGAUGAAGCUGGAGCUUGCUCUGGUGGAAGAGUGGCGAACGGGUGAGUAACACGUGAGCAACCUGCCCCUGACUCUGGGAUAAGCGCUGGAAACGGCGUCUAAUACUGGAUAUGAGACGUGACCGCAUGGUCGACGUUUGGAAAGAUUUUUCGGUCUGGGAUGGGCUCGCGGCCUAUCAGCUUGUUGGUGAGGUAAUGGCUCACCAAGGCGUCGACGGGUAGCCGGCCUGAGAGGGUGACCGGCCACACUGGGACUGAGACACGGCCCAGACUCCUACGGGAGGCAGCAGUGGGGAAUAUUGCACAAUGGGCGAAAGCCUGAUGCAGCAACGCCGCGUGAGGGAUGACGGCCUUCGGGUUGUAAACCUCUUUUAGCAGGGAAGAAGCGAGAGUGACGGUACCUGCAGAAAAAGCGCCGGCUAACUACGUGCCAGCAGCCGCGGUAAUACGUAGGGCGCAAGCGUUAUCCGGAAUUAUUGGGCGUAAAGAGCUCGUAGGCGGUUUGUCGCGUCUGCUGUGAAAUCCCGAGGCUCAACCUCGGGCCUGCAGUGGGUACGGGCAGACUAGAGUGCGGUAGGGGAGAUUGGAAUUCCUGGUGUAGCGGUGGAAUGCGCAGAUAUCAGGAGGAACACCGAUGGCGAAGGCAGAUCUCUGGGCCGUAACUGACGCUGAGGAGCGAAAGGGUGGGGAGCAAACAGGCUUAGAUACCCUGGUAGUCCACCCCGUAAACGUUGGGAACUAGUUGUGGGGUCCAUUCCACGGAUUCCGUGACGCAGCUAACGCAUUAAGUUCCCCGCCUGGGGAGUACGGCCGCAAGGCUAAAACUCAAAGGAAUUGACGGGGACCCGCACAAGCGGCGG
rnacentral:rRNA from 1 species